GUGGGGAAUAUUGGACAAUGGGCGAAAGCCUGAUCCAGCCAUGCCGCGUGUGUGAAGAAGGUCUUCGGAUUGUAAAGCACUUUAAGUUGGGAGGAAGGGUAGUAACCUAAUACGUUGCUACUUUGACGUUACAGACAGAAUAAGCACCGGCUAACUUCGUGCCAGCAGCCGCGGUAAUACGAAGGGUGCAAGCGUUAAUCGGAAUUACUGGGCGUAAAGCACGCGUAGGUGGUUCAGUAAGUUGGAAGUGAAAUCCCCGGGCUCAACCUGGGAACUGCUUUCAAAACUGCUGAGCUAGAGUACGGUAGAGGGUGGUGGAAUUUCCUGUGUAGCGGUGAAAUGCGUAGAUAUAGGAAGGAACACCAGUGGCGAAGGCGACCACCUGGACUGAUACUGACACUGAGGUGCGAAAGCGUGGGGAGCAAACAGGAUUAGAUACCCCGGUAGUCC
rnacentral:rRNA from 1 species